GACAGAGGGUGCAAACGUUGUUCGGAAUUACUGGGCGUAAAGCGUGUGUAGGCGGCUGCGCAAGUCGGAUGUGAAAGCCCCGGGCUCAACCCGGGAAGUGCACCCGAAACUGCGUAGCUUGAGUACCGGAGAGGUUGGUGGAAUUCUCGGUGUAGAGGUGAAAUUCGUAGAUAUCGAGAGGAACACCGGUGGCGAAGGCGGCCAACUGGACGAGUACUGACGCUGAGACACGAAAGCGUGGGGAGCAAACAGG
rnacentral:rRNA from 1 species